UACGUAGGGCGCAAGCGUUAUCCGGAAUUAUUGGGCGUAAAGAGCUCGUAGGCGGUUUGUCGCGUCUGCCGUGAAAGUCCGGGGCUCAACUCCGGAUCUGCGGUGGGUACGGGCAGACUAGAGUGAUGUGGGGGAGACUGGAAUCCUGGGUGUAGCGGUGAAAUGCGCAGAGUAUCAGGAGGAACACCGAUGGCGAAGGCAGGUCUCUGGGCAUUAACUGACGCUGAGGAGCGAAAGCAUGGGGAGCGAACAGGG
rnacentral:rRNA from 1 species